UUGGGUCGGUCUGUCUGGGCCUUAAGGCACGGGACGGGGGGCGGACGAGCUGAGCUGACUUAUUUGGGGCUGGGGUUUUCGUCGUCGGGGCGCUAAGGCUUAGGUAAAAAGGUUAGGUCAGUGGUGAGCGAGCGAGGAGGAGGAGAGGCUGCCGCUCCUCUGCCUCUCCGGAGCCGUCCCAACGCCACUAGAGAAGAGGAAGAGCGCUACCCCCUGUAACGGUUCCUGAACUGUCGGCCUUGGCAGCCUCCCUAGCGGUUAGACCAACAACCCGUGGGUAAACUGUGGUAGUUCCAGUUCGAGGUCUCGGUCGGGUCGGGACGAGGUCCGGUCGAAGGAUUCAUACGGCCGCGGAAACUACGACAGUUCGUUUGCCAACGCCGGCUUCCCGGGUCCCCUGACAUGUUCCCCUACCCCCGAGGAGAACGAUGACAACGUCGGAAGUUGCGAGAAGACAAGUGACACUCCCCGGUCUACCUCUGAGAGAACUCCAGUCUCGGGCCCCGAGGUAACUGCUAUUUCGUCGUCCAGCAGCGACCACGACCACGACCCGAACGCCAGAGGAAGGACCGUACGGGUUGUCUCGACUAGUUCACGUCCAACGUCCGGGUCUCGAGAAAUCGACUUCGUCCACGACAGAGGCCGCACCGCGAUGGGUUUCCCGGUUACCUACACCGCUCCGUACAGUACUCCCUGCGACCGUAGUUUCCAGACAAGUUCCCGUAACAGGGUUGUUACCCGGCACUCUAGGGGCCGUUGCGGUAUUACAAGCCGCACAUGCUCCGGCAGUUCGUCAUGUACCGACCACCAGCCCUGUGAAGUCCGGAGCCGGUCCCGAGAGAGUAGGAGCGGCCCCCGGAGCGGCCUCCUCGGGACACCGAGUGCCACAUGGGUUGGCUGCAGCACUUCUCGCACUAGGUCCACCUGCUGAUGUUCUUCGGCUCCAUGAGCCCCAGCUAGCUGCGCGAGUUCUUCUAGCAGCGCCGGCUGCCCCAGUUCCCGGACAUGUUCCCCAAGCCGGGGCGGUACCGUGCGUCACAGGGCCGUUUGCGGCGGUGGAAGCACCGGAUGCUCUAGUGCGCCAGCCGGUACCCGACUGACCGGGUUCCACGGCCGCGGCGGGAGAGAAGAGGCUGCGCCGACUUCGCCGCAAUGUGCCUCGUUGACUCUCUCUUAAGUCCUGGUACCGUUUGUUUUCGUUUCUUUCCUUUAAUUGGUAAGAAGAAACGACGCCGUAACAAAGGCUCUUGGAACGUUACUGACCGUCGUUACCGUCUUAGUAACCACUAUUAUUUCCAACUCGAAAUGUACACGACACGUACACACAAUACACACCUCACUCGCUCACAUCAUCAACCACUAAACCGAACACCAUUACCAACCGACCCUCACCUAACCGGUAGGCUGCCGCUAGGUCACCACUCCCUCGCUAACAGACUGCCGCUACACCCACGCGGAAACACCAAACAACCCAACGUCGCAGACCACUCCCCCACCCACCCACCAAGACCCGAACGAACCGUAGACUUGGUGGAGUGGGAAGAAGGACCGGACAUAAAAAAACGACGACCCAUCACCACACAAGAGAAGAGUAGAAAGAAGAAACACCUCCCCGCCUAACUCACGUCGAGGUAAAGCGGAGCCUCAGUUUCUACCCCCUGCACCGGUUCCUGGACCGGCGGCCGUGCCACCCGCCGCGCCGCGUCGACCAGCAGCCGGUGGGCAAGCUGUGGUAGUUCCACUUCGACGUCUCGGUCGGGUGCGGCGGCGGGCCGGUCGGCGGGUUCAAGCGGCCGCGGUACCUGCGGCAGUUCGUCUGGUAGAGCCGGCUCCCGGGGGCCCCGGAGAUGUUCCCGUACCCGCGGGGCGAGCGGUGGCAGCGGCGGAAGUUGCGGCACGAGAAGUGGCAGGCCCCGGUCUACCUCCGGGACGACGCGAGGCUCGGGCCGCGGCGCGAGUGGCAGCCGGUCGUCCAGCAGCGGCCGCGACCCCGGCCGCAGCGGCAGAGGAAGGAGCGGACGGGGUGGCUCGAGUAGUUCACGUCCGACGUCCGCGUCUCGCGCGACCGGUGUCGGCGAGGACGGCGGCGGCGGCGUCGGCGAGGGCGCCCGCCGCGCCGACGGUGGCAGUGGCGGUGCCGGUUACGACGGCGCCAGUUCAUGCCGCCCGGCGACCUGCACCGCUCCGUGCACGACGCCAGCCUCCCGCCGCACGCCCCGGAGAAGUUCCCGGACCAGGGGUGUUACCGCGCGCUCUAGGGGCCGUUGCGCGAGUACAAGCCGCAGAUGCUCCGGUGCUUCGUCAAGUAACGGCCGCCCGUCCUGUGCAGCCUCGACCCGUCCCCGAGGGACUAGGAGCGGCCGCCCCAGCGCCCCCGCCGCAAGACCCCCAGGCACAUGGGCUGGCUGCACCACUUCUCGUUCGAGGUCCACCUGCUGAAGUUCUUGGGUUUCAUGAGCCCGAGGUACCUGCGCAAGUUCUUCUAGGAGCGGCGGCUGCCCCGGUCCCCAGACAUGUCCCCCAAGCCCGGCCGGUACCGGGCGUCGCAGGGCCGGUUGCCGCGGACGAAGGAGCGGAUGCUCCACUGGUCCAGGGACGAGAUCCGCCGGUCGCCCGACGGAAC
rnacentral:rRNA from 1 species